UACGUAGGUGGCAAGCGUUGUCCGGAAUUAUUGGGCGUAAAGAGCUCGUAGGCGGUGUGUCGCGUCGGCCGUGAAAACCUGGGGCUCAACUCUGGGCGUGCGGUCGAUACGGGCAUCACUGGAGUUCGGCAGGGGAGACUGGAAUUCCUGGUGUAGCGGUGAAAUGCGCAGAUAUCAGGAGGAACACCGGUGGCGAAGGCGGGUCUCUGGGCCGAUGACUGACGCUGAGGAGCGAAAGCCAGGGGAGCAAACGGG
rnacentral:rRNA from 1 species